GUAUGGGUUUUUCUGUCUUGUCAGUCUUGUACUGAUCGGUGACUCAAUUUAUUGUGGACUGAAACCCAUAUAACUCAGAUGAUACCAAGUCAUUCCGGACAAUAUUUAAAACCCUGGUAUCGAUACACUACUAAACCUUUUUGCAUUACUGUAUUACUAUAUGCAUAUCACAGAUAUUUGGUUGCGAAGGUUGCGGUGCCUACCAUAUUGUGUCCUUAUGUGUGUAGGCUCAAUCAGAUGGGUUUGUGAAAGAACGGGCAAUGCUUUAGGCGCCUGGUAUUUCAGUUUUAGGAAGCUGACAAGUCUAAGUCUUUUAUCUGAUUUCUAAAUGCUUUGUGCAAUUCAAUGCCUUCAGGUUCUUGCACAGGACAACCAGCGUGAAAUUGUGGAAUUCUGCAUUAAGGCUUGGUUCUUCACAGCACAUGGAUUUGGGCUACUAGACUGAAUCCCAUGGAGGGGAAUUCUCAUACCUUCAUGCCAUGAUGAAAAGGAUAUUCAACUAAUGAUAGCGCAGGUUAAAAGAGUUGGGAAUCAAAUACAAGUUCUCUCACUUCUCCAUCCCGAUGUUGCUCUUGUUAGAAGGCUGCCUUUUGAAUGAUAGAGACAGAGCAAUGUCUAUGGGUUUGGAGUUUUGCUGCUGGAGCUCUUAACUGGGCUGAAACCUUUUGACAGGUUACUGAAACCAACCAAGAUUCCAAACCCCGCCCUUCUUCAACCUUAGUUGCAGGAUCCUUGUAAUAGGUGCCGCUCCCGCUUCGAAUCAUGCUUCAGACUCGUGUUCAUGUCCCACUUCCUAGACAUUUACACUUGAUAACAUUUGCGGACAGACGCUUCCCUGCUCUUACAUCUGAAUCUGUUGUCUCGCUUGCCUCACGCUUCGUGCAACCAUAUUUCCGCCACGCCACCAGUCUAUGAAAAGAUACUCUUGCUUGGUCUUGCUUAAUUAUAUUCAGAAAGUUCAAAAAAUUGUACUGGAUGCAUUUAUAGAAAUCAUAAUACUCGCAAAGUACAAAUGGUUGAAGUUGCCAUCAGUGAAAGUCUAACCGGUCUUUGAUAUGGAGGAAUGUUAUAAACGUUGAUGGUCAAUGUUAUGUUGAAUGUAAUUUGAGAAUGUGUUCCCAAACUUAUAUUUGAUUCCUUUCCUUG